CCCGCUGAAUUUAAGCAUAUUAGUCAGCAGAGGAAAAGAAACUAACCAGGAUUCCCUCAGUAAAGAUGAGCCCAGCACUGAAUCCCCACCAUGUGGUGGGGAGUGGGAAAUGUGGAUUAUGGAAGACCUAAACUGCAGCGCUGCUCAUGGGGGGGCCAAGUCCUUCUGAUUGAGGCCCAGCCCAUGGAUGGUGUGAGGCUGGUAGGGGCCCCCAGCAUGCCAGGGCCCAGCUAUUCUCAGAGUUAGUUGCUUGCGAAUGCAGACCAAAGCGGAUGGUAAACUACAUCUAAGCUAAAUACCAGCACAGACUGAUAGUCAACAAGCACCAUAAGGGAAAGUUGAAAAGAACAUUGAAGAGGUAAACAGGUGGGGUCCCUGCAGUCCGCCCAAAGGAUUCAACCUGGCGAAGCAUGG
rnacentral:ncRNA from 1 species